rnacentral:scaRNA from 1 species
AAAUCGUCGAUGAAUUGAAUUGGAAAAUGAAUAUUUGAUACGUGGGCCAUCGGCCCACUCGAUAUUAAUCUUAUUUUUUAUGGGGAAAGGCCCUUCACAAUAGCUUGCUAUUGGGGUCUUUGAGUGUCGUCUUGGCGUUGCACUACUGCCUUGGCCCGGCGCACCCCUC